rnacentral:rRNA from 1 species
GACGAACGCUGGCGGCGUGCUUAACACAUGCAAGUCGAACGGAAAGGCCCUGCUUUUGUGGGGUGCUCGAGUGGCGAACGGGUGAGUAACACGUGAGUAACCUGCCCUUGACUUUGGGAUAACUUCAGGAAACUGGGGCUAAUACCGGAUAGGAGCUCCUGCUGCAUGGUGGGGGUUGGACAGUUUCGGCGGUUGGGGAUGGACUCGCGGCUUAUCAGCUUGUUGGUGGGGUAGUGGCUUACCAAGGCUUUGACUGGUAGCCGGCCUGAGAGGGUGACAGGCCACAUUGGGACUGAGAUACGGCCCAGACGCCUACGGGAGGCAGCAGUGGGGAAUAUUGCAGAAUGGGCGGAAGCCUGAUGCAGCAACGCCGCGUGCGGGAUGACGGCCUUCGGGUUGUAAACCGCUUGCGCCUGUGACGAAGCGUGAGUGACGGUAAUGGGUAAAGAAGCACCGGCUAACUACGUG